rnacentral:lncRNA from 1 species
UUUUUUUUUUUUUUAGGGCCGCCCCUGUGGCAUAUGGAGGUUCCCAGGCUAGGGGUCGAAUUGGAGCUGUAGCUGUUGACCUAUGCCACAGCCACAACCACAUGGGAUCUGAGCCCCAUCUGUGACCUACACCACCACUCACGGCAAUGCCGGAUCCUUAACCUAUUGAGCGAGGCCAGGAAUCAAACCUGCAACCUCAUGUGGGUUAACGAUCCAGUGUUGCCGUAAGCUGUGGUGUAGGUUGCAGACACAGCUCGGAUCCUGCGUUGCUGUGGCUGUGGUGUAGGCUGGUGGCUACAGCUCCAAUUGGACCCCUAGCCUGGGAACCUCCAUAUGCCACGGGAGCAGCCCAUGAAAUGGCAAAAAAAAAAAAAAAAAAAAAGAGUUGAUUCCCCAUCAGAAUUUUUAAGUCAAACAAACCCGAGGUCAAAUCCAAGCUCUGACAACUACUAACCACAUAACACCAGACAAGUUAGUCUCAGUCUCCCAUGUGUAAAAUAUCACUGUUUUUCACAAGACUGCUAUAAAUGCACAUGUAAAAGGCGUUCUAUAAAUGAUAAUCCUCUCCAACAUGAUUAAUGAUUUCUAAAAUUAGCAUUAUCUAUGCUAAAGUCAUCUUAAAAGUAAGCAAAGUAGCUAGCAUUUUCCCUGAAUCUCAAUACAUACAAAUGUGGGAGUUCCCUGGUGGUUCAACGGGUUAAGGAUUUGGCAUUGUCACUGCAGAAGCUCGGGUCACUGCUAUGGUGUAGGUUCAAUCCCUGGCCUGGGAAUUUCUAUAUGCCUUGGGGGUGGCUAAAAAGAAAAAGAAAAAAAUAUACGCGUGCACACACACACACACAUAUAUAUUAUUUUUAUAUAAUAAAAAAUAAAUAUAUGUAAAUACGUACAUAUAUCAAUGAGUCUGCCAAAUAAAUACAAAGAAAGUCACUAGUCAUCCUUUUAACCGAUCUACCGUCCUCCCUUUCUCUAAAAGUAGACAACAGACAAAAAGCAAUAAAGUUAGCCUUCCUUACUACAAAUGUAACUAUGUCAAAGCUGCUGCUUGAUGCGGACUUCAAAAUCUGCAGGAGUUCCUGUUGGGGCUCAGUGGUUAACGAAUCCAACUAGGAACCAUGAGGUUGUGGGUUCGAUCCCUGGCCUCGCUUAGUGGGUUAAGGAUCCAGCAUUGCUGUGAGCUGUGGUGUAGGUCGAAGACAUGGCUUGGAUCUGGUGUUGCUGUGGCUGUGGUGUAGGCCAGAGGCUAUAGCUCCGAUUGGACCUGUAGCCUGGGAACAUCCAUAUGCCACAAGUGUGGCCCUAAAAAGAGAAAAAAAAAAAAAAAAAAAAAAAAAAAAAAAAGGUAAUACGAAACAUGCUGGAGAAAGAUGUCAUAAAUAUACAAAAUAUUUAUGUGGUAUAGACCACCCGAAGUCAGGGGCAGCAGAAACCCUCUGCCCCCAGUGGCAGAAAGCACGGCGCUUCAUUUGACCAGAGUCACAUCAGCAACUUGUUCAGCAAAAAAGAGACCUCCCAACUCUGCACAUCUGCAGAAACUCAGAUGGGUUUGGUUUUUCAUACUGUAGUCAGGGUUAAUGAAGAGGCUACUCUACCUCAUUCAAGCCUAGAAUUUUCACUGUCUCCCUCUCACCAGCGGGGCCAAAUACUAAACUGUCUCAGGCAAGAUUCCAUAGGAACUGCAGCCUUUCUCGCACCAAAUUUCAGCAAAGAUAAAGGGGACCCUCACCUUCCAUUCCCAAAGCGUGAUUAUGUAU